rnacentral:rRNA from 1 species
UCUGGAGUAAAAGGNUAUGGCUCAACCAUAGUGUGNUCUGGAAACUGUCUGACUUGAGUGCAGAAGGGGAGAGUGGAAUUCCAUGUGUAGCGGUGAAAUGCGUAGAUAUAUGGAGGANCACCAGUGGCGAAAGCGGCUCUCUGGUCUGUCACUGACGCUGAGGCUCGAAAGCGUGGGUAGCGAACAGGAUUAGAUACCNUGGUAGUCCACGCCGUAAACGAUGAGUGCUAGGUUUUAGGCCCUUUCCGGGGCUUAGUGCCGGAGCUAAUGCAAUAAGCACUCCGCCUGGGGAGUACGACCGCAAGGUUGAAACUCAAAGGAAUUGACGGGGGCCCGCACAAGCGGUGGAGCAUGUGGUUUAAUUCGAAGCAACGCGAAGAACCUUACCAGGUCUUGACAUCCCGAUGCUAUUCUUAGAGAUAGGAAGUUACUUCGGUACAUCGGAGACAGGUGGUGCAUGGUUGUCGUCAGCUCGUGUCGUGAGAUGUUGGGUUAAGUCCCGCAACGAGCGCAACCCUUAUUGUUAGUUGCCAUCAUUAAGUUGGGCACUCUAGCGAGACUGCCGGUAAUAAACCGGAGGAAGGUGGGGAUGACGUCAAAUCAUCAUGCCCCUUAUGACCUGGGCUACACACGUGCUACAAUGGUCGGUACAACGAGUUGCGAGCCGGUGACGGCAAGCUAAUCUCUGAAAGCCGAUCUCAGUUCGGAUUGGAGGCUGCAACUCGCCUCCAUGAAGUCGGAAUCGCUAGUAAUCGCGGAUCAGCACGCCGCGGUGAAUACGUUCCCGGGCCUUGUACACACCGCCCGUCACACCACGAGAGUUUGUAACACCCGAAGUCGGUGAGGUANCCUUUUAGGG